UAAAACUGUAAGGAGACUAUUUCAAGUUA
rnacentral:piRNA from 1 species